GAAUUCCCGUUGAUCCUGCGGGAGGUUGCUGCUAUUGGGAUUCGAUUAAGCCAUGCAAGUCAGGGGUUGCUUUGCAACACCGGCGAACUGCUCAGUAACACGUCGAUAAUCUGCCCUUAGGUUGGGUAUAACCUCUGGAAACUGAGGCUAAAACCUGAUAAGGAAAUUCUACUGGAAGGUGUUUUUCCUCAAACGUAAGGCCUAAGGAUGAGUCGGCGGUCGAUUAGGUUGUUGGUGUGGUAACGGCUCACCAAGCCUAUGAUCGAUAGGGGCCUUGAAAGAGGUAACCCCGAGAAGGGCACUGAGAUACUGGCCCUAGCCCCACGGGGUGCAGCAGGCGCGAAACCUUUACAAUGCACGAAAGU
rnacentral:rRNA from 1 species